AGAGCAGCUGCCCUUCCUCAGGGAUUGCCCCAUGCCGCACGUUCAAAGUAAUUCCUGGGGGUUUGCCCUACACCAGAUCGUUUCUUUAGCCCUGGUUCCCCAGACCUGCGUGCCCUGGCCGUGACAUUGGGAAUUGAGUGACUCUUUCCAACUCUCUCCAGCUCCAGGUGUAUCUCUGCCAGGAGGCUCUAGGGACAAAGUGACUUCGCCGUAAUUUCUCAUUAGCUGUGAUUCCUCCUCGGCAGCUGUGGGGAUUCCGGAAGGGAUCUGAGAGCAACAUUCCUGCCUCCACCACUGGGCUGGAUUUCUGCCUUUUUUCCUUUUCCUCCUCCCACCAGAUUUGCUUGCACAGAAGAAUCACAAGAACAGAAGGGAGCCUCCAUCUAUGGUCUAGGAGAAAUUUUGGGGAAACUCGUGGACCCAGAGAAAAACUGUGACCCCUGGAAAGGGAUGGGAGAGAAGAACCCAUGUGGCUGCCCCUGGUCCUGAUGGGCAUCAGCCUCUGGGAGCAGUGGGAACAGGCUCCAGGCAACCCAAGCAACAGAUAUCUGCAGGGACAGCUUGUUUUGAUACAUUACCCCCAAGAUUCAUCAGUAAAUGGGACUGAAGAGCCUUUAAUGACCAUAAAGAGUGAAAAAUUCCAGUGGAGGGAUGGCCGUGGCUUUCCUGCUCGAGCAGAUGCUCGUCAGAAUUGGUACUCUCCAGGGAAUUGUUCCAGAAGGUGGAUGGAAUAAAGUGAUUCACAGUAUUAAAAAAAUAAAAUAAAAAGAGAGACAUCAGAGCUCCUGGAAGCUGUUCAGUUGGAACCGGGAAGGCUGCGAAUAACAGACGCCCAAGGGAACCAAUGUUUGAAGCCAAAGCAAUUUGGGUAGCAGGACAGGCUUGGGGGAAAAAAACCACACAGAUUUUGGAUUCUGCUGCACAUCAAUGCUAAAAAAGAAGCCACACAUGUUGUGAAUGUACAGCCCAGGAACACAUUUUGUAGGCACAGUCCUAAUGUGGCACGUGAUGUGCUCGUUCCUAUUAUUGAUAAUAGCUAACUGCAGCUCCUCCUCCUGCUUUUCCCUGCUCAGCCAUGGAAAACAUGGGCUCCAGAUGCUGUUAAACAGCUUUAGAAAUUUCCAGGUGACCAUAUACAGGCUGUUUUGUGGGUCUGCCUUGAACCUGCAGGGUUUACAGCACAGAGCAGCUGUGUCCAGGGUGGGAUGGAUCCAUUUGUUUCCUAUAUUGGUGCCUAAAAGGGAGGGCUGGGGAGGCACAUUCCACCCGAGUAGCUCUGGCAUCAGCUUUAUUUGACCAGUGAAGCAAGAAUGGCAGGAUUCAAUCUGACCAGAAGUACUUCUCUCAAAAACAUCAGAUGCUGCCUUGAGCCUGCACAGAGCUCACCUACAAGAGGGUGUUUUCCUUCUGCAAACCAGAAUGAAACCUCUCCACUCCCCUUUAUCUCACUUAGAAGCCCAGGGGAAUCCCUGCGGAGCUGGUGAUAAAUCAACUUUUCUCUGGGA